rnacentral:rRNA from 1 species
GCAUUUAGGUGCAGCCUCGAGGAUUACUGAUGUGAGGUAGAGCGACUGAUUGGAUGCGAGGGCUUCACCGCCUAUCAAGUCCUGACAAACUCCGAAUGCGCAUCAGUUUGACCUUGGGAGUGAGGGCAUGGGUGCUAAGGUCCGUGCCCGAGAGGAGAACAAUCCGGACCAUCGGCUAAGGCCCCGAAAUGACAGCUAAGUUAAACUAACGAAGUCAGAUUGCU